rnacentral:rRNA from 1 species
AACGAACGCUGGCGGCAGGCUUAACACAUGCAAGUCGAACGCCCCGCAAGGGGAGUGGCAGACGGGUGAGUAACGCGUGGGAAUCUACCUAGUUCUACGGAACAACAGUUGGAAACGACUGCUAAUACCGUAUACGCCCUAUGGGGGAAAGAUUUAUCGGAAUUAGAUGAGCCCGCGUAAGAUUAGCUAGUUGGUGAGGUAAUGGCUCACCAAGGCGACGAUCUUUAGCUGGUCUGAGAGGAUGAUCAGCCACACUGGGACUGAGACACGGCCCAGACUCCUACGGGAGGCAGCAGUGGGGAAUAUUGGACAAUGGGCGCAAGCCUGAUCCAGCCAUGCCGCGUGAGUGAUGAAGGCCUUAGGGUUGUAAAGCUCUUUCAGUAGGGAAGAUAAUGACGGUACCUACAGAAGAAGCCCCGGCUAACUUCGUGCCAGCAGCAGCCGCGGUAA